UACGUAGGGGGCAAGCGUUGUCCGGAAUCAUUGGGCGUAAAGCGCGCGUAGGUGGCCUCAUAAGUCCGCUGUGAAAGUCAAAGGCUCAACCUUUGAAAGCCGGUGGAUACUGUGAGGCUAGAGUACGGAAGAGGCGAGUGGAAUUCCUGGUGUAGCGGUGGAAUGCGCAGAUAUCAGGAGGAACACCAAUAGCGAAGGCAGCUCGCUGGGACGUUACUGACACUGAGGAGCGAAAGCGUGGGGAGCGAACAGG
rnacentral:rRNA from 1 species